GCCGGGUGUGGUGGCUCACACCUGUAAUCCCAGCACUUUGGGAGGCUGAGAUAGGUGGAUCACCUGAGGUCAGGAGUUUGAGACCAGCCUGGCCAACAUGGUGAAACCCCAUCUCUA
rfam:Gorilla gorilla gorilla genomic chromosome, chr13, whole genome shotgun sequence